AUCCAGCUGGCGAGUCCCGAAUAGGACGAAAUGCGCAUCCUGGAU
rnacentral:hammerhead_ribozyme from 1 species